ACACUCAUAUUGGCUUUGCUAUCCACUAGUUUUUCGUACAAUUCAUGGGCUGUAGAUGUAGAUACAAAUUUGGGAUCUGAAACUGAGUUACUAACUCGGGAGCUUAUGGAAUCGGCGAGGCAACCCGAGUUCUUGGAUUGGUUGACAAGGACGAGAAGGAGAAUCCAUGAGUACCCGGAAUUGUCUUUUCAGGAAUACCAAACGAGUCAAUUUAUCCGAAAUGAGUUGGAUUCACUUGGGAUCAAGUAUUUGUGGCCAGUGGCUAAAACUGGUGUGGUGGGAACUAUUGGGUCUG
rnacentral:misc_RNA from 1 species